rnacentral:rRNA from 1 species
AUGGGAGCGGAGACGAACCUCUCGUCGCCGCAGCUAGAUCCGACCAAGUCGCGGGAGUCGGUGACCCUACUCAACGACGAUCAGGGUUCAGUAUACGUGGCUGAGUGUGACAAAAGCUUGGAGCCGGCAAUUGGCAUGGUCGUUGAUAAAUGGGAGACCGGCGAGAUGUUCUACACACGAUGUGCAUUUCUGCCAGCAUAG